GGGCACUGCAGGGCACAGGGGUCUGCAGGGAGGGAGGGAGGGAGGAGAGCUGACAUGCACUGAAGAUCUGCCUGGGGCUGUGGGGUAGAGAAGAGCAGGACAGAAGGGAGAGGGGGUCAGUGGCUGCAGUCCCCUGCACGUGACACAGCUGGCAGAAGUCCGCCUAAGUCCCAGGCUGGGAUGCAGAUGAUGAGGAAGCUUUAGGCCUGGGCUGGUGGGGCAAAGACGGGGCCACUCUGGGUGUUGUCCUCAAGAGUGGAGAAAGGCAGUCGAGCACACUUGCCUCUCGCCAGCGCCAGCCACCGUGUCGCCUUGCUGGCUUGGUUGCGGGGGAGGGAGAGCUGGGAGGGUUCUGGUUAAGUGUGUGAAGGCAUGACCAGUCUCCAUCCCGACAUCUCCAGCCACCACAGAGGCUUGUUCCUGCACCGCUCCAUGCGUUUCCAGCUUCUGGAACCGCAGGCGUCUCUGGGCGGUUCCCUGGGGCCUUGAGAGCCACCUUUCCCGUCCUUUUCUUUGUCGUCACAGGGUCUAAAUCUGUAUCUCUCACCUGCAGCACCUCUGGCGUCUGGGCAGGACCCCCGCCUCUGCACACCAGAUUCCGGUGGUGCCCCCACCCAGCUGUGACCGCCAACACGGUCCCGGACAUUGCCGAGUGGGCCCCAGGGGCAGAAGUACCCCUGGUUGAGAGCAACUGCCCUGAUGAAGGAGGUGCGAGCCAGGGAACAGAGGACCAGACAAAAGUGAGUGCUGUUUGGAACUCAGAGGGCCUGGAGAAGGGCUGAAGACAGGGCCUGAAGAAGGCGUUCAGGACCCCCGGGGCCUCUUCUGGGGCAUCCUGAGUGCAGGCACUAGGCCACCUAAUGAACCCUUAGCUUCCCAGGUAUCCGGGGCCAGAAAGGCUGAGGGCAUUUCCGCACUGCAAAGGGUUGCUCCCAUUGUGAGUUAGUGAACAACUUUCUCAUUUAUGUGUCAGUCUCCUGUGAGUCUGGCUAAUGGGGAGUGGUCUUGCGGAGACCCAUCACAGGCAGCGACCAGCCAGGGUCCUGUGGUCCUGGGAAGCAGCACCUGCACUGUUCCCUGGGAGGAAGCCGGUAGCCUUCGUGGGGUCGCUGACUGCAUCCCCAGAGUGCAGAGAGCUCAAUGAAGACAGCACUCGAGUCAGAAAUCAAUGUUUACUGCAGAGAACACAGAAGCCAGCAAGCAGUAGGCAAGGGAGGCGUCGCAGUGAGUGUGUCGGGCAGGCUGGGAACCAGCGCAACGGCCCACGUGGACCGAGGACACACGCAGAGCAAGUCACAGAAAGCGCAGCUGAAAACAAACGGAUGCUUAUCCCAGAUGCACAGGACACUUACCAAGGACUGAUGGUCUAUCAGAGUAAUGCUCAGCAGCUUUGGCAGGCAGGACAGUUAAACUUUUGGACAACAGAAAGUAACUGGGAAAUGGGACAUCUGCCACCAACACGAGAGGCCAAGACCACAGCUGUUACAGGAGGGGUCAGCGCCACAGUACAUGGGUGGCGGCGGCGGCUGCACAUGCAUGCCUGGGGAAUGUGAGUGUUCAGACAUGCCAGGCGUCCAGCCUCACCAGGAAACAGGCACACGGGGACACAGGCACAAACACUGAAAACCCUCGCUGAAUCCACUUGGCUGAGCGGUGGCCACGGGAGCACGGGGCUGCCCUCCUCACAGACCUGCACCUGGGCCCCAGGGCAAGACGGGCGUGGGAGGUGCAGGGGUGCGGGUGCGGGCAGGGGCUGCCGGAAACAGCCGUGAGGGGUGCGGGUGCAGGCAGGGGCUGCCGGAGACGGGCGUGGAAGGUGCAGGGGUGCGGGUGCGGGCAGGGGCUGCCGGAGACAGGCGUGGCAGAUGCAGGGGUGUGGGUAGGGGCUGCCGGCUCAGAGGCGUGUCCAGGAACCCCCGUCAGGCCAGAGCCCUGCCCUGAGCGGCCUGCAGGGGUGACUGCGGGACAGCAGCGUUAGGCCCGGUCUCGGCUGUGAAGUCGCCCCCACCGCCACGCACGACCCUGGGGAUUCUGUCAAGGUGGGGGCCGUCUGCUAGGCCCGGGCUCCCUGACCACGUGGCUAGGUUUGCGGAGGACACCAGGAGAGUGCCGACACCAGGGUCUGUAAGCAUGAGGCUCCCUGCCGGCCCCAUCCCGGAGUUCACCCCAUCCUUCCCGCGUCCCUGGACCUCAGCUGUUCCUCACUGACCUCAGAGACACCCUGCCCUGCCCCGGCUUCACAGGAGCCCUGCCCACCACCGCCUCAGCUCUGGGGACACGGCCUUUCUCCCGGUGCAGAGGCGCAGCUCGCUGCCCCCAGGGCCCAUCUUCCUCCCCAGCAUGUUUUUACGUCAGCUUAUUCUCAGGAAAGAAACGAUCACAUCUCAGCGCCCCAAAUGGGGACCAAUAGGAGAGGUCACUGGGAAUGAAACCCAGGUACACCCCAGGGUCCGUGGGCUCCCCAGAAACGCAGGUGGACCCCACCACAGCCAACAGGCCUAAGUCGCUGAUCGGCCCCUCCCUGCUUCCCUGUGUCGAAGAGGAAACAGAGGCCCAGACAAGGAGGGCUGGCCGGCUGCGUCCCCAGACCUCUGGUUCCGGGGCUGGCUGGGAGCACCCCUCUCCCUGCUCCCUUCCUGCUCUCCUGAGAAAUGGCUCAGGGAUGGGGCCUGCGGGGACGGAUGCCGGCAUAGCUCUCAAAAUGCUCGCACAAGGGACACUUCAUGGCAGGUCCCUGCAGCAGAGCAAAGUCACAACAUUUGAGGUUCUCUGCACUCUGAGGCCUACAGAGCUCGGCUGGCCGAGUGAGGCUGGGAGGAUGGUGCCCGCUGGUCAGGGCAGCUGAGUGGGGCUGGGAGGAUGGUGCCCGCUGGUCAGGGCAGCCCUCUGGGUCAGGGUGACUGAGCAAGGCUGGAAGGAUGGUGCCUGCUGGUCAGGGUGGCCGCGUGAGGCUGGGAGGGUGGUGCCCGCUGGUCCGGGUGGCCAAGAGAGGCUGGAAGGAUGGUGUCUGCUGGUCAGGGUGGCCCAGGAGGUGCUGUCCAGGCGGAGCCCGGGGCUGGUGUGGGUGCGCCAUGCUCCUGAGAAGUUUCUGGGUUGUGGCUUUAAUGUUCUCCUGCAAUAAGAACGCUGACACUUGGCUGAAAGGUCCUCAUGUCUCCCCCAGUACACUUCUGAGAUGCCAGGAAGGCAUUCUGAACAUCAGGCUGAUUCCUGGGACUCCCCUCCAGGGUGACCUCACCGGAGUCAGGAGCCCCCGCCCCGCGCCCACUGCCCCACUAGGAUGGCUCUGCAGUGGCCUGAGGACAGUGAACACUGGGGUGUAAAGUUGCCCACUGUGAUGGUUUUGACCUUUGAAGAAAUUUGGGAACCAAGUGAAAGCCCGGCAGCUAUUUCUAGGCAUUUCAGAGGGUGCUUCCCUGCACGACUUCACAGGGUGCUUCCCUGCACGACUUCACAGGGUGCUUCCCUGCACGACUUCACAGGGUGCUUCCCUGCACGACUUCAGAGGCUGCUUCCCUGCACGACUUCAGAGGCUGCUUCCCUGCACGACUUCAGAGGCUGCUUCCCUGCACGACUUCAGAGGCUGCUUCCCUGCACGACUUCAGAGGCUGCUUCCCUGCACGACUUCAGAGGCUGCUUCCCUGCACGACUUCAGAGGCUGCUUCCCUGCACGACUUCAGAGGCUGCUUCCCUGCACGACUUCAGAGGCUGCUUCCCUGCACGACUUCAGAGGCUGCUUCCCUGCACGACUUCAGAGGCUGCUUCCCUGCACGACUUCAGAGGCUGCUUCCCUGCACGACUUCACAGGGUGCUUCCCUGCACGACUUCACAGGGUGCUUCCCUGCACGAUUUCACAGGGUGCUUCCCUGCACGAUUUCACAGGGUGCUUCCCUGCACGAUUUCACAGGGUGCUUCCCUGCACGAUUUCACAGGGUGCCUCCCUGCACUAUUUCAGAGGCUGCUUCCCUGCACGCACUCUGCCGCACACCGCGCUCCCUGGGCCAGGAGCCUGCUGCACAGAAGGAGGUUCCUUUUCUUCUCUUUCCAGCGCUUUUCUUCUCCUUUUCUUCAUCUCUGCUCCUCCUCUAACUGAGGAAUGUGCGAAUCUUUUUUGUUAGUUUUGAGGCUGCUUCUUAUGCAUAUUUCAUCUGGAACUUCUUGCUUUGGGGGUGAUCUGCUCUACCAGCCUGAAAAGGACGAGAAAUAUCUUCUGAAUACAUGAGAAGUGCGGUGAUUACCCGGUUCCUCUGUUGGUAAAGACCACACUCUGAAAGCAAGAAGAUGGCUUAAAUUUGGGUUGAG
rnacentral:lncRNA from 1 species